rnacentral:rRNA from 1 species
YUACAAGGUCUCCGUUGGUGAACCAGCGGAGGGAUCAUUA